GAGUGGUUAGACAAGGAAAGACAUCAUUGUCAUAAAAGGAGGCGCUCGAAGAAAAUUGAACAAGAGAUUUCAGAUGAAGAAGGGAGAACUGCGAAGUGGUUGAAAGAAAAGUCUUACUGUGAGGAGAUUGAAAUNNNNNNUAAAUCUCACCUAAAAAGAAAUCCAUUGGAUUGUCCUUCGAGCAGAAGAAGCUAUUCAGGCAGAGAAAGCAAUGAAACAAAUUCUCAUGAAGAGAGUUUGAAUUCCAGAAAAAUCGUGGACCC
rnacentral:misc_RNA from 1 species